CCGCCCCCACGCCCUCCCAUCUCUCCCUCCUUCCUGCCGUCCCCCGCCUGAGGGAGGGGAGCGGUGCAGCAGACAUCCGAGGGCAGCUGGGACCCCCUGACUCAGCCGACGGGUGAGUCAGGCUCCCUGCAGGCCACACCGGACCCCCCCAGGGCGGGGAUUUCCCCAAGAUGAGAAAUCAGCCACCGGAAGUCACGCCGGACCUUGGACGGGCAGACAGAGGCUGGGAGGAGUUCUGGGUGCAGAGCCCCCCAACCUGUGCUCUCAUCUCUUGCUCUGGGGUAAGCCAGUGGCCAUGCUAUAAGGACACUCAAGCCACCCUAUGAAGAAGCCCACAUGAAGAGGAACUGAGAUAUCUGGCCAACAGCCAGCCAGUCACUGAGCCUGCCAACCACGCUGUGGCAGGUACCUCCAGCCCCAGACACCUGCAGCCUCCACUGAAAGCUCAAUGGCAGCCUCAUGAGACCCUGGACCGGAACCACCCAACGAAGCGGCUCCUGUAUUCCUGAUUGACAGAAACUACGGGAUCAUAAAUGCUUGCUGUUCAGUCUGCCAAGUGUUGGCGUGAUUUGUUAAACAGCAACCAGUAACUAAUACGCCACCCAUGGCUGCCGCGUUCCUGCUGUGGGGCCAGCACUAUUCCAUGCUUAGAGGCUCCAUCAAUACCUGUGAUGGACUAAAUGGCAUGAUGGCUCAUGCCUGUAAUCCUAGCACUUUGGGAUGCCAAUGCGGGUGGAUCACCUGAGGUUAAGAGUUCGAGACCAGGCUGGCCAACAUGGUGAAACCCCAUCUCUACUAAAAAUACAUAAAGUAGCCCGGUGUGGUGGUGGGCGCCUGUAAUCCCAGCUACUCGGGAGGCUGAAACAGAAGGAUCACUUGAACCCGGGAGGCAGAGGUUGCAAUGAGCCGAGAUCACGCCACUGCACUUCAGCCUGUGUGACAGGAGUGAAACUCCAUCUCAAAAAUAAAAACGAAAACAAUAACAACAACAGCAACAAAAAACCAUUGCAUUGUGCACAUUAAAUGAAUUGUAUGGUAUGUGAAUUCUAGCUCAAUAAAGCUUCUUAUGCUAAAACAUGACGAGGAAGAAGAGGAGGAGGAGAAGAGGCAAAGUCACUGGUGCCCAAGGAAUGGCACCAGGAGUGGUCUCCAGGAAGGCUGGCCACCUGUAGGGCUGGGAGAGCUCUGUGAUGCUGACAUCAGGGGCCUUCUUCAUGCCUGAGAAACAGGACAUGGGCUAAGGGCGGCUAACCAAGGCCUGGGAGAAUAUUGAGAGGUAAACAGGCGAUGUGGGUGUGGGGCGCUCAGCCUACUUGGCCAAAGGGUGAGUUCUUGCUAAUUUCACAGGGAGAGCCUGACUGGUCUCAAGCACCUGAGGCCCAGCAUGAGAAGUCAACAUCCCUGACUUCUCAUCCUCUAUAGAAAUUUCCCCCAGACCAGGCGCGGUGGCUCACGCCUGUAAUCCCAGCACUUUGGCAGGCCAAGGUGGGCGGAUCACCUGAAGUCAGGAGUUCAAGACCAGCCUGGCCAACACCGUGAAACCCCGUCUCUACUAAAAAUACAAAAAUUA
rnacentral:lncRNA from 10 species